rnacentral:rRNA from 1 species
ACUCAAAUGAAUUGACGGGGGCUCACACAAGCGGUGGAGCAUGUGGCUUAAUUCGAGGCUACGCGCAAAACCUUAUCCCGGGCUUGACAUGCACGGAUUAACUGGCGGAAACGCCAGCCAGGCCGCAAGGUACAACGUGCACAGGUGCUGCAUGGCUGUCGUCAGCUCGUGCCGUGAGGUGUUGGGUUAAGUCCCGUAACGAGCGAAACCCCUGCGCCUAGUUGCCAGCGCGUCAUGGCGGGAACUCUAGGCGGACCGCCGGCGUUAAGCCGGAGGAAGGCGGGGAUGACGUCAAGUCCUCAUGGCCCUUAUGCCCGGGGCUGCACACGUGCUACAAUGGGUCGGACAAAGCGCUGCCACGUCGCAAGACGGAGCUAAUCGCCCAAACCGGCCCCCAGUUCGGAUUGCGGGCUGCAACCCGCCCGCAUGAAGCCGGAAUCGCUAGUAAUCGCGGAUCAGCACUGCCGCGGUGAAUGGGUUCCUGAGCCUUGCACACACCGCCCGU